rnacentral:misc_RNA from 1 species
GAUGAAGAACGUAGCGAAAUGCGAUACGUAGUGUGAAUUGCAGAAUUCAGUGAAUCAUCGAAUCUUUGAACGCACAUUGCACCUCUCGGUAUUCCGGGAGGUAUGCCUGUUCGAGCGUCAUUUGUACCCUCAAGCUCUGCUUGGUGUUGGGCGUCUGUCCCGCUCUCCGUAGCGCGGACUCGCCUCAAAGUCAUUGGCGGCGGUCGUGCCGGCUCCUCGCGCAGCACAUUUGCGCUUCUCGGAGGCCCGGCGGAUCGGCAUCCAGCAAGCUACUUUUUAUGACUUGACCUCGGAUCAGGUGAGGAUACCCGCUGAACUUAAGCAUAUCAAUAAGCGGAGGA